GACGAACGCUGGCGGCGUGCUUAAUACAUGCAAGUCGAACGGAAAGGCCAUGCUCUUGUGGGGUGCUCGAGUGGCGAACGGGUGAGUAACACGUGAGUAACAUGUCCCUGACUUUGGGAUAACUUUAGGAGACUGGGGCUAAUAUCGGAUAGGAGCUCCUGCUGCAUGGUGGGGGUUGGAAAGUUUCGGCGGUUGGGGAUGGACUCGCAGCUUAUCAGCUGGUUGGGGGGGUAGUGGCUUACCAAGGUUUUGACGGGUAGCCGGCCUGAGAGGGUGACCGGCCACAUUGGGACUGAGGUACGGCCCAGACUCCUACGGGAGGCAGCAGUGGGGAAUAUUGCACAAUGGGCGGAAGCCUGAGACAGCAACGCCGCGUGCGUGAUGACGGCCUUCGAGUUGUAAACCGCUUUCGCCUGUGACGAACCGUGAGUGACGGUAAUGAGUAAAGAAGCACCGGCUAACUACGUG
rnacentral:rRNA from 1 species